GAUGAACGCUGGCGGCGUGCCUAAUACAUGCAAGUCGAGCGAAUGGAUUAAGAGCUUGCUCUUAUGAAGUUAGCGGCGGACGGGUGAGUAACACGUGGGUAACCUGCCCAUAAGACUGGGAUAACUCCGGGAAACCGGGGCUAAUACCGGAUAACAUUUUGAACCGCAUGGUUCGAAAUUGAAAGGCGGCUUCGGCUGUCACUUAUGGAGGGACCCGCGUCGCAUUAGCUAGUUGGUGAGGGAACGGCUCACCAAGGCAACGACGCGUAGCCGACCUGAGAGGGUGAUCGGCCACACUGGGACUGAGACACGGCCCAGACUCCUACGGGAGGCAGCAGUAGGGAAUCUUCCGCAAUGGACGAAAGUCUGACGGAGCAGCGCCGCGUGAGUGAUGAAGGCUUUCGGGUCGUAAAACUCUGUUGUUAGGGAAGAACAAGUGCUAGUUGAAUAAGCUGGCACCUUGACGGUACCUAACCAGAAAGCCACGGCUAACUACGUGCCAGCCGCCGCCGUAA
rnacentral:rRNA from 1 species